rnacentral:tRNA from 1 species
GCCGAGAUAGUCUAGUCCGGAAAGGCGGUGGCCUUGAAAGCCUCUGGUGGCGACACCUCGAGAGUUCAAAUCUCUCUCUCGGCG